GGUAUUGGGCCGAGCUGGAUUUGAACCAGCGUAGACAUAUCGUCAACGAAUUUACAGUCCGUCCCCAUUAACCGCUCGGGCAUCGACCC
rnacentral:tRNA from 1 species